AUCGAUUGUGAAUUAUAAUUGAAAAACAAUCUCAUCUGAUCUUUGAGGCUAAGUGGGGUCAGGCCUGGUUAGUACUUGGAUGGGAGACCAUCUAGGAAGACCGGGUUCUGUAGGUG
ensembl:rRNA 5S_rRNA 5S ribosomal RNA